CUCAGGAUUUGAGCCAGUACUUCCAGAUGUCUGCCAGAGAUUGGGGAAGAGAAGGGACUGGCACUGGGCCCCCCUCCAUCCCCUACCUAUUAGUGAAGAUCCGUUCGGCAGAGUAGCUGUUGACAUUAUAGUUGCGCAGGCACUUUGUUGACUCUAUAGAACCUCGGGCCAAUUGCACGUCCCCGUAACGGCGACUUUGCAUUCAUAUGUCAUCCAUACCAACUUUCGAUGCCAGUUUCUGUGCCUACUAUGGUGACCACGGGUAACAGGGAAUCAGGGUUGGAUUACGGAG